GAAUGAGUCACUCGUUUUUAAAUUCUGCUCUUCCCGGCAGAUUGUGUGGUGGUGAACUUACGGUUUUCUGAGG
rnacentral:snoRNA from 1 species